GCAAGUCGAAAGCUAGCUUGCUAGCUUGGCAAACGGGAGAGUAACACAUUGGUAACCUGCCCCGAAGAUGGGAAUAACCUUGCGAAAGCGAGAAUAAUACCCAAUAGUAAUAAGAAGCUUAAGUUUCUUAUUUAAAACUCCGGUGCUUCGGGAGGGGCCUAUGGUCUAUCAGCUUGUUGGUAGGGUAAAAGCCUACCAAGGCUAUGACGGAUAGCGGGUGUGAGAGCAUGACC
rnacentral:rRNA from 1 species